UCCCUGAUAGCUCAGUUGGUAAAGAAUCUGCCUGCAAUACAGGAGACCUGGGUUCGAUUCCUGGGUUGGGAA
rnacentral:tRNA from 1 species